UACGGAGGAUGCAAGCGUUGUUCGGAAUCACUGGGCUUAAAGAGCGUGUAGGCGGGGUGUCAGGCGUCGGGUGAAAUCCCUCGGCUCAACCGAGGAACUGCCUGGCGAACCGACAUUCUUGAGGCAGGUAGAGGUGGCUGGAACGACAGGUGGAGCGGUGAAAUGCGUAGAUAUCUGUUGGAACGCCGGCGGCGAAAGCGAGCCACUGGGCCUGUCCUGACACUGAGACGCGAAAGCGUGGGGAGCAAACAGG
rnacentral:rRNA from 1 species